rnacentral:lncRNA from 1 species
AUGGCUGCACGCCAGCAGAGCUGUGCCCUGCCGCCCUUCGCAGAGGGACACGGGUGGGCUCAGGGCCUGGGACCGCAGCAGGCAUCACCGGGAGGUUUGUUUGUGUUGUGUAACCAGGGCUCAGCUCGCGUGUUGGGUAACGCCGCCGACAUUUCACCUACUUUCAAGCCACUACUGCGACGAAUCUGUUUGGCCCCAAGUUGUUUUUGCCUCCAAGGAAAUGCUUGGCAGAGAGCCCCGGCGAAACACUGGGAAUGUGGAAAAGUGAUACGGGUGCCCAGCAAAACAGGCUGCAGGAGGGUAUUUUAUGUGUCAGAGAGUGCAGGAACGUUCAGAUGCCCUGGGGAACACAAACAACACCUACACCGCCUGGAACAGCAAGGAGCGCCGCAUGGUGCGGUUCCAGCAUUACUCACCCCCAGGACUUGGGCUCUUCCCCACCCAGUUACAUAUGACCAGGAAAUUAUAGCCUGCACGGCUCCAGGCCUGGCUGAACGGUUGCCAUAUCGUAUGAUGCACAACAGCGGUGAGACUGAUGAAACAACAGAGCAAUGUGUUUUUACUGAAACUGAUGCUUCGCAGAACAGACAGGCUUGGCUGGGUCAGACUGCCAUUUGGUGCCUUGAAUGCAUGCUCCCUCUUGCACAACUUGCCAUUAAUUAAAAAUUCUGGAUAAAAAAUGAAAUUCUGAUCUUCUUUUAUGUUCGUUCCUCAUUACACUCCUUUUUCUUACAGCAGACUCCAUGGCCAGCCAUUGUGUGCCCCAGACACUAGUUUCCUCAUCUUUCUCAUUGUAUCCAUCCCUCUGUGCUUCCAUUUUUCUUCACGCUCAGCAUUCACAAGAUCUUUCCCCCACUGCCUUCCUAUCCGUGGCCUCUGCUUCUCACACCUUUAUAACAUACUCUUCCUAGGUCUGCUGCACACCUCUCUUCUCUGCAGGACACGGCCCAUGGACCUGCAAAGGUCAUCUCUGCAGCAUACUGUAUCACAUCAUUCCUCUCUUGAGUCUAUCCAACACUUUCUACUUAACAUUGGGUUUAAAGAACUUGUUAUAUCAAAGGUCACC